AGCAGAGCUUCUAAAGAAGCCAGCCUCGUACUGCAGAGGGUAGGCACAGUGUUCUCGAGGCUUUGGGGCAGCGGUGGCAGAGACCUUGUCAUCCCAUGGUGGCAUGUUAUGCUGGGGUCACUUGUGUGGCAGGGCAGUCUUUGGAGCAGUUUCCAGGUGUGAUGUGGGAGUUUUCGUGCUUUAUAUUAAACCUCCAAACGUAACAAGCCUGUUGGAGAUUCUGUUUAUCUUGUGUCUUUUCUUUUUUUUGAUAAAUUCUUCUGCUUAAACAAGCCAGAAUGAGUUCUCUCAUUUGCAAGUAAGAGCGACUGGCCGGAAACAAGUUGGUAUCGGGAAUUGCAAAUGACAAAUGCUAAAAGAUGCAGGAGGUAGGACACGGUUGGAGAAGACCCACUGUCCUGGGUGAGUUGAAAAAUUGGUGAGCCUAGUUAUUUGGUGGCAAAACAUUUUGCCAGACUGACUGACUGUACUUUAGGGUAGAGACCAGACUGGUGUUAAGGGAGAUAAUAGGGAGCUGCAGAGUGUUGGCAUGUGCUGGUCUCUUCCUAGGCAACUGUGGGGUUGGUGCCAGACUGCGUGGGUUCAAACCCCACUUCUGCUUACUCACCGUGUGACCAGCUUCCUCAGCUGAAAAUGGAAAUGAUAAUCAUACCUACUUAGGACUGUGAGGAGGAUUAAGUGAAUCAUACCUGGAAAGCAGUGUCACAGAAGUGUUGAAUGAAUGCAAGCUGCGAAGUCCUGCAGAAGAGCAAUACAGCCAGACUAAAGGAAACUGGGUGGAAACCAGAGUGGAGAAGAAAAUAGAGCCUCGCUAGGAGAAGCUUUCUCUGCUUGCAACCUGCAGUCUGAGUUGAUGGAAAGUUCCAAGAGUCCUGGUUUGGGCAAACCUAGCAAAAUGGAAACUCCACCAAGUGGCCUGCAGCAGCCUCAGCAGGAGUUUACACUGAAGACUGGCCUUGCCAAAAGGGCAUUAAAUGUGGGGUUUUCCCACUUCAAGUGAUGGCUGUGAAUUGCCCCGAGACAGUAGCAGGUAAACUAAGGGAGAAGGUACUGGACAGAGUCCCGGAUACCAGCUGCUCCCAGAUCAAAUGCUCAGUGUAAAGAGCAUGUAGGCGAGAUCUCUGUUUGCUCGAGCCUGGGGUGUAUGGAGAGUCCUUAUCCCUCGCUGCCUUUGUAGGGCAAGGCCUGUGUUCAGGGCAGAUAACCUGGCUUUCCAGCUGGAGGAGGGCACCACGUAGAGCCACAUUUAGACCUGAUGGAGAAAACUGCAUUUCACCUGGAGAUUUCAGACUGCAAUCAGUAACUGGAAGAGACGGAGGCAUCCUUCUUUGGUCGGGGCAUGGUGCAAGAUGGGUGACACAAAGAGGGAGAAGACAUUGGGAGUCCAAGCCAUGCAGAAAUCGGAAUCCAUAUUCAGCAGCAAAGAAGGAGAAGCAGAAGCACAGGAAGGAGGAAGUGGCCAGAGCAGAGGCCUCAGCAGGCAGAACAACAGCCGGAGCUGGACUUCAUCACGUGUCCCCAGCCCCGUCCCCACUGGCCGGGCUCGUCCACUGUUUAGUUGGCCUCUAAAGUGUCCUGAUUCCAGGUGAAGUGAAACCCCAAACAAAGAAACACCCUUUAUCUCCAGAAGGGAUCAUGUGACUCAUUUGAACUCUCUAUGGCUCCUCGUUUUCCUCUUCAGCAUCAUAUUCUAGGACCAUAAUGGGGUGGAAAGCUACCACUUGGCCAGAGAAGUGUGGCCUGAUUUCUGGGAAAGAGGCAGCCCAGCUCCGCAGCCGUAAAUGGGUUAUUAAGACUAAAUACACUGAGACCGGAUAGCCCUCGCUUCCCAGCUGAGCUAACUCUCUGAGGACAGUGCUGUCCCGGGUGCAGGACAAUGAAGGGAGGAGAGAGCACAGCUUCCUGGAGGAAGGCCGGGAUGCGGCGAGAACAGCGGCAUCGGUCAGGCCUGGAUUUAGGGCUCUCUCUGCCCUGGUCUUGCCCGGCAACCCGGACAGGCCACUUCCCCUAGCUGAGGUCAGCUCUGUCAUCAGAGAAAUGGGUGAAUGCCUGCUUCUCCCUGACUCAAAAAUUUGUCAGGCUGCUCUGAUAAAAAUACACGAAAGUUCUUUGUAGCAUAAAAAAAGCCCAAAAAAGAACCCUGGUUAUAUUUUGACAUGGGGAUGGGCCUCUGAGGAGCAGUCUGGUUACACUCUAGAGUCCUUUAGGGCUGUGAUGUUUUCAAUGGCUCCAUCCUCAAGGCACCCCAUCCUUGGGCUCAGCGGGUGUCAAAGGUGGGUUUAAACUCUGUGAACAGCUCACUAAGGCCUCCCACUGACCAGAACCUCCCCUCAGCGACUCUUUCCUUCUGAACAAAGGGGUGAUCAUCCCACCCGGCAGGGAGCAGGUCACCCUGGAGCACACAUGCCCAGCUGCCUCGCUGUCGCUGCUCCGUGCUCACGGAAGAUGCAAGGACAGCUGGACAGUAAACACAAUGGUACUCUCCUUCCAUCUGGGACAUUAAUCAAGGAUUUGAAAAGCAUCUGUCCCCUAGAGGCUGAAUCCUGAUUUCUGAAGCUUCAACUGAGAGGAGGAGAGAGGAUAAUUAACCACAUUCCAACGGUCAGGGCUGGACACAGAAGAGUUCAAACAGGAGAAUUAUUAGGAGGAAAAGGCGGCCCUUUCUGAGAAUCAUCCUUUAUCUGAGCCAGGUCAGCCUGACUUUGGGGGUAUUGAGGAGCCCACAUCCUCUUUGCAGGUUGCCCAUUCCCCCAUCCAUAAGCCUGUGGCCAAUUCUUGGCCAUUUAUUUGGUUUAAGAAAUUACUCUCGGGGCCAGCCCGAUGGUGCAGUGGUUAAGUGCACACGUUCCACUUCGGUGGCCCGGGGUUUGCCGGUUCGGAUCCCGGGUGCGGACAUGGCAC